UACGUAGGGUGCAAGCGUUUGUCCGGAAUUAUUGGGCGUAAAGAGCUCGUAGGCGGUUUGUCGCGUCUGCUGUGAAAACUCGGGGCUUAACCCCGGGCCUGCAGUGGGUACGGGCAGACUAGAGUGCGGUAGGGGAGACUGGAAUUCCUGGUGUAGCGGUGAAAUGCGCAGAUAUCAGGAGGAACACCGGUGGCGAAGGCGGGUCUCUGGGCCGUAACUGACGCUGAGGAGCGAAAGCGUGGGGAGCGAACAGGAUUAGAU
rnacentral:rRNA from 1 species